GCUAACUAUGACCUAGAAAACUGCUAAAAGGUAUCAAUUGAAACAUAAACAUAGCAGAGUUUUCCGAAUUCUGGCAAGUGUUUAACAAACAAUCCUUUAAGUCUAUUACUAUUAAUGUCCAUGACUGGGGGAGCAUAGUUGGAGAUGGCAAUCCCGGUUGAAGUGCUCCCAUAUCUUCCAUGACUUAAUUAAUUUCUCUCAGAUCAUAUAACAGUCUCCAUUUUCCAUUCCUUUUCUUGAUUACAAACACUGGAGAGUUCCAGGGCUAAUCGUGGGAUCAAUA